GACAGAGGGUGCAAACGUUGUUCGGAAUUACUGGGCCUAAAGCGCACGUAGGUGGUCCGCUAAGUCGCGUGUGAAAUCCCCCGGCUCAACCGGGGAAAUGCGCGUGAUACUGGCGGGCUUGAGAUCGGGAGGGGUGAAUGGAACUCCAGGUGGAGCGGUGAAAUGCGCAGAUAUCAGGAGGAACACCGAUGGCGAAGGCAGCUCGCUGGGACGUGACUGACGCUGAGACGCGAAAGCGUGGGGAGCAAACAGG
rnacentral:rRNA from 1 species